GGCUCUGCUCUCAGCUCUGCCACCGCCUGGUUGUCUCGUCUUAGAGAAAUCAUUUACCUUUCCGGCCUCCCGUUCCCUCCUGUGUAAAAUGUGUGAGUCUCACAUCGCUGUGGUGUCGCCGCGGGUGUCGGACUGAUUAAAUCCUGAGUAUGGAGAGCCCCUCCUAGCUCGCAUGGUGUGUCUGUCUUGUGCAACAGGACCUGAGGUUUUCGCGCCUCAGGAGAACAUGUUGUAUGCAACUAGAGAAGAGUUGCUGUGAUUGGCUGAUAAAUAUUUGUCAAAGAAAGAGAGAACUGAAAGCUCGCACAGUGUGGCUUGGAUAUCCUGAAAAGUGUGAAGAAAAGCAUCCCAGAAAUUCUAUAAAAAAU